UACAGAGGUCCCAAGCGUUGUUCGGAUUUACUGGGCGUAAAGGGUGCGCAGGCGGUCGGAUAAGUCGGGUGUGAAAUCCCAAGGCUCAACCUUGGAACUGCGCUCGAAACUAUCUGGCUAGAGGACUGGAGGGGAGAUUGGAAUUCAUGGUGUAGCAGUGAAAUGCGUAGAUAUCAUGAGGAACACCGGUGGCGAAGGCGGAUCUCUGGACAGUUUCUGACGCUCAUGCACGAAAGCCAGGGGAGCAAACGGG
rnacentral:rRNA from 1 species